rnacentral:rRNA from 1 species
UGGGGAAUUUUGGACAAUGGGGGAAACCCUGAUCCAGCCAUCCCGCGUGUGCGAUGAAGGCCUUCGGGUUGUAAAGCACUUUUGGCAGGAAAGAAACGUCGCGGGUUAAUACCCCGCGGAACUGACGGUACCUGCAGAAUAAGCACCGGCUAACUACGUGCCAGCAGCCGCGGUAAUACGUAGGGUGCAAGCGUUAAUCGGAAUUACUGGGCGUAAAGCGUGCGCAGGCGGUUCGGAAAGAAAGAUGUGAAAUCCCAGAGCUUAACUUUGGAACUGCAUUUUUAACUACCGGGCUAGAGUGUGUCAGAGGGAGGUGGAAUUCCGCGUGUAGCAGUGAAAUGCGUAGAUAUGCGGAGGAACACCGAUGGCGAAGGCAGCCUCCUGGGAUAACACUGACGCUCAUGCACGAAAGCGUGGGGAGCAAACAGGAUUAGAUACCCUAGUAGUCCACGCCCUAAACGAUGUCAACUAGCUGUUGGGGUCUUCGGACCUUGGUAGCGCAGCUAACGCGUGAAGUUGACCGCCUGGGGAGUACGGUCGCAAGAUU